CUGUCCUCGCCGCUCUCUAGUCUGCGAUCUCUGGUCUCUGCUCGCCUCUCCCUCAUCGUCUUUCUGCUAACUGAUGGGUGAGGAGGUGAAAGCAAUUGUUCCCGAGUCUGUGCUUAAGAAGCAGAAGAGGGAGGAGGAAUGGGCCUUGAAGAAAAAGGAGGAGUUUAAUGCUGCAAAGAAGAAGAGA